ACUAAAUAGAUACCCGGGUAGUCCAUGCCGUAAACUAUGGAUACUAGCUGUUGGGGGGUAUCGACCCCUCCAGUAGCGAAAAGCUAAACGCGUUAAAGUAUCCCGCCUGUGGAGUACGAUCGCAAGAUUAAAACAUAAAGGAAAUUGACGGGGACCCGGCACAAGCGGUGGAGCGUGUUCUUUAAUUCGAUGCUAAACGAAGAACCUUACCAGGGCUUGACAUCCCUUGAAAUUACUCCGAAAGGAGUGAGUGCUUUAUUGAGCAAGGUGACAGGUGAUGCAUGGCCGUCGUCAGCUCGUGUCGUGAGAU
rnacentral:rRNA from 1 species